rnacentral:rRNA from 1 species
AACGAACGCUGGCGGCGUGCUUAACACAUGCAAGUCGAACGCGAAAGGGACUUCGGUCCUGAGUAAAGUGGCGCACGGGUGAGUAACGCGUAGAUAACCUAUCUUCACGUCUGGAAUAAUACGCCGAAAGGGGUACUAAUACCGGAUACUCUUGCUUUUCAUAAGUUUUGCAAGGAAAGGUGGCCUCUGUAUAUGCUACUGCGGGAAGAGGGGUCUGCGUACCAUUAGCUAGUAGGUGGGGUAAUGGCCUACCUAGGCAACGGAGGUUAGCGGGUCUGAGAGGAUGAUCCGCCACACUGGCACUGGAACACGGGCCAGACUCCUACGGGAGGCAGCAGUGAGGAAUAUUGCGCAAUGGGGGAAACCCUGACGAAGCGAGGCCGCGUGAGUGAGGAAGGCCUUCGGGUCGUAAAGCUCUGUCAAAGGGAAAGAAGUGCAUGAUGGCUAAUACCUGUCAUGUUUGACGGUACCCUUAAAGGAAGCACCGGCUAACUCCUUGCCAGCAGCCGCGGUAAGAC